rnacentral:rRNA from 1 species
UAGGGAAUCUUCCGCAAUGGACGCAAGUCUGACGGAGCAACGCCGCGUGAGUGAAGAAGGAUUUCGGUUCGUAAAACUCUGUUGUUAGAGAAGAACAGCGCAUAGAGUAACUGUUAUGCGUGUGACGGUAUCUAACCAGAAAGCCACGGCUAACUACGUGCCAGCAGCCGCGGUAAUACGUAGGUGGCAAGCGUUGUCCGGAUUUAUUGGGCGUAAAGCGAGCGCAGGCGGUCAAUUAAGUCUGAUGUGAAAGCCCCCGGCUCAACCGGGGAGGGUCAUUGGAAACUGGUUGACUUGAGUGCAGAAGAGGGGGGUGGAAUUCCAUGUGUAGCGGUGAAAUGCGUAGUUAGAUGGAGGAACACCGGUGGCGAAGGCGACUCUCUGGUCUGUAACUGACGCUGAGGUUCGAAAGCGUGGGUAGCAAACAGG